UGCAGCGUUGAGCCGACAGGCUCCGUGCGUGACGCUCUCGGAUCUUCUCUUUCUCUAUCUCCUCUUUAAGGAUCAUCUUGCCCAAACCAGACUGGAUCUGGAAUCAACAUUUUCAACAGGAACACAGUUUCAGUUUUAUACUUAAGUAUACAAGGCUAAAUUCGGGCCACACCUAACAGGACACUGACUUGGAAUUUGACAGGACAUGGAAUUUACUGAAUUCAAAGAAUGUUACACAACAGAGGAAUUUCAUUAGUCAAAUAGACUUAAGGAGAAAGAAAGUCUUACACAUCUGGGAUGGCAUGAGGUCUCUUCAGAUAGAAGAAAUCAUCUGACAACUCCAGAGAGCUAUUCUGCAAUUACAUCAGUCCCACAACUUUAUUUUGUCCGCAAGCAGAAAAGUCUAAAUGAUGUCACUUCCUCACUCCAAAGGCUCUAACUAACUAGACUGAAUGAGCAUACCAGAGUAUCAUGUAUCAGAGUCAUAUAUAUCAUAUACUACAUUAAAAACUUAAAUUAACAAACUUGACUAACCCUUCACUUCCACCCUUUGGAAAUGUAUACACAUUUUAUCAUUAAAAAAGGAA